CUCCGCCUCCUCGUCUGCUCUCGCCAUCGCCCGCAGAGCUCCACCCAAUCCCUCGCUCGCUCGGUGAGAUCCAAGGCGGCCGCGUCGGCUGGGAGCGGACCCACGCGGGAGGAGGAGUUCGGCGAGCAUGAGCUGGAGGUGGCAGCCAUUCUCGCGGACCUGUCGUCCAUCGUGCGGGCCAGCAGCAGGAGCAGGCGCGGCCGGAGAUCCCCUCGUGGAGCCGGCGCCGGCCGAGGAAGGCCCUAGCGGCUCCGCCGGCCAAGAAGCCCGCGGCCGAUAGCCCGGACACCCCGCUCGCCUUCCUUGACGACGACGAGGCGGCGGCAGCGCAGGACAAGUCGGCGCAGGAGCAGCGCGGCGAUUUUGACGAGUAGGAGAUGGAGCGCGUCACAAGCACCUUGGCUGCACCCUGAGGUUAUCCAUCAGGCAAACUGUCAUCGCACUGUCGUUCACGAUGCUGCUCCCAAGCCUCCCGACGAGAUUGUGCGAGUUGCAACUUACAUGACGCAGAUUCUUUUGCUAUACUUCGGAAGCCGGCAAUAGCAGCGGCAACGUCGACGCAGCCACGGGCUGGACAAAACUUGAUUAGCUUAUUACUACAUCAAUAAUUUGUGCCUGUAGGACUCUUUCACAAAUCAUGUCAACGAGACUAGCAAUUUGAAGAGGCUGCUGCACAUGAUAUGAAGAUAUUGGCAUAUACAGUCCCAAACAUAAGUUUCAAAAUAGCAGGUGUGGAGUUUAGCCCUGUUCCGCUGUAUGGAAAGCCAUGACCUCCACACAGAUGAUGCAAGAGGAAACAAGCUAGACUCACAACUUUAGUUUUCAGGCAUCUUCACCAACAAAUAUUACCCUGGCACUGACAGGUUGUUAGUAUUAUAUAAGUAUACUUGUUCAGCCUGUGCUGGUCUGAAUAUCUAAACAAGGAAGCAGGCUCAGUUGCUCACCAACCUACUAUUGCUGCCAACAAGUAGCCAGAAGCCCAUAGAAGACAUUUGCAUUGAUCACAGAAAAAUGAAGUAUUGAAUUUGUAGGACAUUGUCAUCCUAAUCUGGUUCCCACAUAUUCAAGAUGUGGAGAUUAGAUCUUUGCUCCAACAAAGCCAUGACCUUCAAUUUUGUUGUUAAUUUAACAGCUGUUUUGAUUGUGCCGAUCGAUCGGCUUAUAAGAGCCAAUUUGGUUUCUUGUGAACUAGAGCAUCCUAUUUUUCAUGAUUAUAUUAAGAGCUUCCUAUUUUUCAUGAUUAUAUUAAGAACUCA